CCUACGGGAGGCUGCAGUGGGGAAUAUUGCACAAUGGGGGGAACCCUGAUGCAGCGACGCCGCGUGGGUGAAGGAGUAUUUCGGUAUGUAAAGCCCUAUCAGCAGGGAAGAACAAUGACGGUACCUGACUAAGAAGCACCGGCUAAAUACGUGCCAGCAGCCGCGGUAAUACGUAUGGUGCAAGCGUUAUCCGGAUUUACUGGGCGUAAAGCGCUCGUAGGCGGUAUGUCAAGUCAAGGGUGAAAUCCCCGCGCUCAACGUGGGAACUGCCUUUGAAACUGGCAAACUGGAGUGUGUGAGAGGAUAGUGGAAUUCCAGGUGUAGGAGUGAAAUCCGUAGAUAUCUGGAGGAACAUCAGUGGCGAAGGCGACUAUCUGGCACAUAACUGACGCUGAGGAGCGAAAGCGUGGGUAGCAAACAGGAUUAGAUACCCUAGUAGUC
rnacentral:rRNA from 1 species